AAGGUGGCCAGGACUCCCGGAGACCUCCGCCUGGCGACUCCCCUCCAAUUCCCUUCAGAACGCCCACUCAGUGACCUGGUCUUAAAAGAAAAUUUAUUUUUGGCAAGCUAGUUCAUUUCUCAACUUUUUUUCAUUUAUAAGGUCUGUUCCAGGAAAGCAACUGAAGACUUAGAAUGCGCUGACCCCUGCUGACCUUGUGAAAACGAACUCUAUUCUCCAUUUAAGUGAUGAUGGUAUAAAAAGUAGGUGGAGCUGCUGACCGUUCCCUAUACAUGCCUAACCUGGUUGAAAUCUUUCCCAUCCUUCAAGGCUGGGAUGGGAACCACCUCCUCCAGGAAACCUCCCUUGAUUCAGAAGACCUGCCCAGGUCUCUUUGUCCUCCUCACAUACUAUUUUGUAUUCUUUUAGAAUAACAGUAACCAGUGCUUUUUAAACA